GUCGUAACAAGGUCUCCGUUGGUGAACCAGCGGAGGGAUCAUUACCGAGUUAUCCAACUCCUAACCCCUGUGAAUUAUACCUUUAAUUGUUGCUUCGGCGGGACUUCGCGCCCGCCGGGGACCCAAACCUUCUGAAUUUUUAAUAAGUAUCUUCUGAGUGGUUAAAAAAAAAUGAAUCAAAACUUUCAACAACGGAUCUCUUGGUUCUGGCAUCGAUGAAGAACGCAGCGAAAUGCGAUAAGUAAUGUGAAUUGCAGAAUUCAGUGAAUCAUCGAAUCUUUGAACGCACAUUGCGCCCGUCAGUAUUCUGGCGGGCAUGCCUGUUCGAGCGUCAUUACGCCCCUCAAGUCCCCUGUGGACUUGGUGUUGGGGAUCGGCGAGGCUGGUUUUCCAGCACAGCCGUCCCUUAAAUUAAUUGGCGGUCUCGCCGUGGCCCUCCUCUGCGCAGUAGUAAAACACUCGCAACAGGAGCCCGGCGCGGUCCACUGCCGUAAAACCCCCCAACUUUUUAUAGUGACCUCGAAUCAGGUAGGACUACCCGCUGAACUUAAGCAUAUCA
rnacentral:rRNA from 1 species